rnacentral:tRNA from 1 species
UUAUGGGGUAGAUACCUCUCUUUACA